UUUAGGGUCAGUCACAGUGGUCAGGUAUUCUGCCACUAUGUACUCUCUGUUUAGGGUCAGUCACAGUGGUCAGGUAUUCUGCCACUGUGUACUCUCUGUUUAGGGCCAGUCACAGUGGUCAGGUAUUCUGCCACUGUGUACUCUCUGUUUAGGGCCAGUCACAGUGGUCAGGUAUUCUGCCACUGUGUCCUCUCUGUUUAGGGUCAGUCACAGUGGUCAGGUAUUCUGCCACUGUGUUCUCUCUGUUUAGGGCCAGUUACAGUGGUCAGGUAUUCUGCCACUGUGUCCUCUCUGUUUAGGGUCAGUCACAGUGGUCAGGUAUUCUGCCACUCUCUGUUUAGGGUCAGUCACAGUGGUCAGGUAUUCUGCCACUCUCUGUUUAGGGUCAGUCACAGUGGUCAGGUAUUCUGCCACUGUGUACUCUCUGUUUAGGGCCAGUCACAGUGGUCAGGUAUUCUGCCACUGUGUCCUCUCUGUUUAGGGUCAGUCACAGUGGUCAGGUAUUCUGCCACUCUCUGUUUAGGGUCAGUCACAGUGGUCAGGUAUUCUGCCACUCUCUGUUUAGGGUCAGUCACAGUGGUCAGGUAUUCUGCCACUGUGUACUCUCUGUUUAGGGCCAGUCACAGUGGUCAGGUAUUCUGCCACUCUCUGUUUAGGGUCAGUCACAGUGGUCAGGUAUUCUGCCACUGUGUACUCUCUGUUUAGGGUCAGUCACAGUGGUCAGGUAUUCUGCC